rnacentral:rRNA from 1 species
ACGGGGCCCCGCACAAGCAGCGGAGCGUGUGGUUCAAUUCGAUGCUACACGAAGAACCUUACCUGGGUUUGACAUGUACGUGGUACGAAGGCGAAAGCCUAAGGACCCUUCGGGGAGCGUACACAGGUGCUGCAUGGCUGUCGUCAGCUCGUGCCGUGAGGUGUCGGGUUAAGUCCCGUAACGAGCGCAACCCUUGCCCUUAGUUACAAGUGUCUAAGGGGACUGCCGGCGGGAAGCCGGAGGAAGCUGGGGAUGACGUCAAGUCAGCAUGGCCCUUAUGUCCAGGGCUACACACACGCUACAAUGGUCAGUACAAAGGGUAGCGAAGUCGCGAGGCGGAGCGAAUCUCAACAAAGCUGAUCGUAGUUCGGAUUGCAGGCUGCAACCCGCCUGCAUGAAGCUGGAGUUGCUAGUAACCGCGCGUCAGCCAUAGUGCGCUGAAUACGUACCCGGGGCUGUACACACCGCCCGUCACGUCAUGGGAGUCGGUAACGCCUGAAGCCGGUAGUCUGGCCCGCAAGGGGGACGCUGUCGAAGGCGG